UACGUAGGGCGCAAGCGUUGUCCGGAAUUAUUGGGCGUAAAGAGCUCGUAGGCGGUUCGUCGCGUCGAAUGUGAAAACCCGGGGCUCAACUCCGGGCUUGCAUUCGAUACGGGCGGGCUAGAGUUCGGUAGGGGAGACUGGAAUUCCUGGUGUAGCGGUGAAAUGCGCAGAUAUCAGGAGGAACACCGGUGGCGAAGGCGGGUCUCUGGGCCGAUACUGACGCUGAGGAGCGAAAGCGUGGGGAGCGAACAGG
rnacentral:rRNA from 1 species